rnacentral:rRNA from 1 species
CAGGCCUAAUACAUGCAAGUCGAACGAUAGAUAGAAGCUUGCUUUUAUCGAAAGUGGCGCACGGGUGCGUAACGCGUAUGCAACCUACCUUAAUCAGGGGGAUAGCCCGGAGAAAUCCGGAUUAACACCGCAUAAAAACACAGGAUAGCAUUAUCCAAUGUUCAAAUAUUUAUAGGAUUAAGAUGGGCAUGCGUGUCAUUAGCUAGUUGGCGGGGUAACGGCCCACCAAGGCGACGAUGACUAGGGGAUCUGAGAGGAUGGCCCCCCACACUGGUACUGAGACACGGACCAGACUCCUACGGGAGGCAGCAGUAAGGAAUAUUGGUCAAUGGAGGCAACUCUGAACCAGCCAUGCCGCGUGCAGGAAGACUGCCCUAUGGGUUGUAAACUGCUUUUAUCUGGGAAUAAACCUUUCUACGUGUAGGAAGCUGAAUGUACCAGAAGAAUAAGGAUCGGCUAACUCCGUGCCAGCAGCCGCGGUAAUACGGAGGAUCCAAGCGUUAUCCGGAUUUAUUGGGUUUAAAGGGUGCGUAGGCGGCCUGUUAAGUCAGGGGUGAAAGACGGUAGCUCAACUAUCGCAGUGCCCUUGAUACUGAUGGGCUUGAAUGGACUAGAGGUAGGCGGAAUGAGACAAGUAGCGGUGAAAUGCAUAGAUAUGUCUCAGAACACCGAUUGCGAAGGCAGCUUACUAUGGUCUUAUUGACGCUGAGGCACGAAAGCGUGGGGAUCAAACAGGAUUAGAUACCCUGGUAGUCCACGCCCUAAACGAUGAACACUCGCUGUU